rnacentral:rRNA from 1 species
GAGUUUGAUCUUGGCUCAGAACGAACGCUGGCGGCAUGCCUAACACAUGCAAGUCGAACGGGAUCCUGGUUUCGGCCAGGUGAGAGUGGCGGACGGGUGAGUAACGCGUGGGAACCUGCCCAGUGGUGGGGGAUAACUGCGGGAAACUGCAGCUAAUACCGCAUGAGCCCGAAAGGGGAAAGAUUCAUCGCCAUUGGAGGGGCCCGCGUUCGAUUAGGUAGUUGGUGGGGUAAUGGCCUACCAAGCCUGCGAUCGAUAGCUGGUCUGAGAGGAUGAUCAGCCACACUGGGACUGAGAUACGGCCCAGACUCCUACGGGAGGCAGCAGUGGGGAAUAUUGGACAAUGGGGGCAACCCUGAUCCAGCAAUGCCGCGUGAGUGAUGAA